rnacentral:sRNA from 1 species
CCUCCGUCCUUCACGGACACACUACCGCC